rnacentral:rRNA from 1 species
UAAUCAUGCAAGUCGAGCGAAUGAUGAAGAAGCUUGCUUCUUCUGAUUUAGCGGCGGACGGGUGAGUAACACGUGGGCAACCUACCUAGUAGAUUGGGAUAACUCCGGGAAACCGGGGCUAAUACCGAAUAAUUCAUUUCACCUCAUGGUGAGAUGCUGAAAGGCGGUUUCGGCUGUCACUACUAGAUGGGCCCGCGGUGCAUUAGCUAGUUGGUGGGGUAAUGGCCUACCAAGGCAACGAUGCAUAGCCGACCUGAGAGGGUGAUCGGCCACAUUGGGACUGAGACACGGCCCAAACUCCUACGGGAGGCAGCAGUAGGGAAUCUUCCACAAUGGACGAAAGUCUGAUGGAGCAACGCCGCGUGAGUGAUGAAGGUUUUCGGAUCGUAAAACUCUGUUGUAAGGGAAGAACAAGUACGUUAGUAACUGAACGUACCUUGACGGUACCUUAUUAGAAAGCCACGGCUAACUACGUGCCAGCAGCCGCGGUAAUACGUAGGUGGCAAGCGUUGUCCGGAUUUAUUGGGCGUAAAGCGCGCGCAGGUGGUUUCUUAAGUCUGAUGUGAAAGCCCACGGCUCAACCGUGGAGGGUCAUUGGAAACUGGGAGACUUGAGUGCAGAAGAGGAAAGUGGAAUUCCAAGUGUAGCGGUGAAAUGCGUAGAGAUUUGGAGGAACACCAGUGGCGAAGGCGACUUUCUGGUCUGUAACUGACACUGAGGCGCGAAAGCGUGGGGAGCAAACAGGAUUAGAUACCCUGGUAGUCCACGCCGUAAACGAUGAGUGCUAAGUGUUAGGGGGUUUCCGCCCCUUAGUGCUGCAGCUAACGCAUAAGCACUCCGCCUG